AUUGAACGCUGGCGGCAGGCCUAACACAUGCAAGUCGAGCGAGCGGCGGACGGGUGAGUAAUGUCUGGGAAACUGCCUGAUGGAGGGGGAUAACUACUGGAAACGGUAGCUAAUACCGCAUACCAUCAGAUGUGCCCAGAUGGGAUUAGCUCGUAGGUGGGGUAACAGCUCACCUAGGCUACGGUCCCUAGCUGGUCUGAGAGGAUGACCAACCACACGGGAACUAAGCAACGGUCCAGCUGCCUACGGGAGGCAGCAGUGGGGAAUAUUGCACAAUGGGCGAAAGCCUGAUGCAGCAAUGCCGCGUGUGUGAAGAAGGCUUUCGGGUUGUAAAGCACUUUCAGCGGGGAGACGUUACCCGCAGAAGAAGCACCGGCUAACUCCGUGCCAGCAGCCGCGGUAAUAC
rnacentral:rRNA from 1 species